rnacentral:rRNA from 1 species
UACGUAGGGACCAAGCGUUGUUCGGAUUUACUGGGCGUAAAGAGCUCGUAGGCGGCUUAGCAAGUCGGGUGUGAAACCUCCAGGCUCAACCUGGAGACGCCACUCGAUACUGCUAUGGCUUGAGUUCGGUAGGGGACCAUGGAAUUCCUGGUGUAGCGGUGAAAUGCGCAGAUAUCAGGAGGAACACCGAUGGCGAAGGCAGUGGUCUGGGCCGAUACUGACGCUGAGGAGCGAAAGCGUGGGGAGCGAACAGG